rnacentral:lncRNA from 1 species
GGCGGCCCCUGCCCCGCCUGUCGCCCUGACCUUCGCCUCCGCAGGAGCCCGGCACUCGAGCGUCGCCCCGUCCCUCCCUCCCAGGCACCGCCCCCUGCCGGACCCCCUCCCCGCUCAGGUCCCUUCAGACCCCGGUUCCCGCCCGCCGCGGCCGCGCGCCCGGGCCACAGUGCCCUCGCGCCUCACUCACCGAAAACCACGGAACCCCUCAAACUCCACCGGCUUCUGGCCUCAGUCCGCGCACCGCGUCCGCCGGGAUUCUACACGUCCCGUCCACAGGCUGCGUCAUCCAAUCAGAAGCCAGAAGCCGAGAAAACCAGAAAAGAGACUGUCUGCCUGGCUCAAGCAUAUCAACGAUUAAGUACAAGCCACCAACAUCCUUCUGCUUUUUGAUGCUUAGAAGAGUUUUUUAAGGAUUGGAAUGAAUAUAUCCAGUGUUUCCCCACCAGAAGCACACACAGCUGAGCAAACGUGCUGAACACCAGCAUGAGCUCUAGGAGUACUGUUACACACUUGACACACACCCUUCACUCUUUGAGGUUUUUGAGACUUGCUCUGCGGCCUGACUGGCGGCAUGCCCUGGAGGGGCGCCCGGGCACUUGUGGAGGACUUGCACUCUGCCUGGGGGCCUGUUCCACUCACUGGACCUUCCCUUGUCCGCUUUUCACCUGCUGAAGCACUUUGUCCUUUGAGACCCACGUCCGGACGGCGUCUUCUAUCAGGUCUUGCCCACGCUGUCC